rnacentral:rRNA from 1 species
UAUAAUACCUGUUGCUUUGGCGGGCCCACUGGGGUCACCUGGUCGCCGGGGGACGGCUGUCCCCGGGCCCGCGCCCGCCGAAGCACCCCUGAACUCUGAAGAAGAUAGGGCUGUCUGAGUAUCUAGAAAAUUGUCAAAACUUUCAACAAUGGAUCUCUUGGUUCCGGCAUCGAUGAAGAACGCAGCGAAAUGCGAUAAGUAAUGUGAAUUGCAGAAUUCCGUGAAUCAUCGAAUCUUUGAACGCACAUUGCGCCCCCUGGCAUUCCGGGGGGCAUGCCUGUCCGAGCGUCAUUUCUGCCCUCAAGCACGGCUUGUGUGUUGGGUGUGGUCCCCCGGGGACCUGCCCCAAAGGCAGCGGCGACGCCCGUCGGGUCCUCGAGCGCAUGGGGCUUUGUCACUCGCUCGGGAGGGACCUGCGGGGGUUGGUCACCACCAAAUUUUUUACGGUUGACCUCGGAUCAGGUAGGAGUUACCCGCUGAACUUAAGCAUAUC